GGGCCCGCACAAGCGGUGGAGCAUGUGGUUUAAUUCGAUGAUACGCGAGGAACCUUACCAGGCUUAAUGUAAGUUGCAUAGACCAGAGAUGGUCUUUUCUUCGGACUACUUACAAGGUGCUGCAUGGUUGUCGUCAGCUCGUGCCGUGAGGUGUCAGGUUAAGUCCUAUAACGAGCGCAACCCCUGUCGUUAGUUGCCAGCAAGUUAAGUUGGGCACUCUAGCGAGACUGCCGGUGCAAACCGCGAGGAAGGUGGGGAUGACGUCAAAUCAUCACGGCCCUUACGUCCUGGGCUACACACGUGCUACAAUGGCCGGUACAGAGAGCAGCCACUCCGCGAGGAGGAGCGAAUCUAUAAAACCGGUCUCAGUUCGGAUCGCAGUCUGCAACUCGACUGCGUG
rnacentral:rRNA from 1 species